AGUCGAACGAAGUAGCAAUACUUAGUGGCAGACGGGUGAGUAACAUGUAGGUAUCUUCCCUAUGGUGAGGAAUAACACGAGGAAACUUGUGCUAAUACCUCAUAAGUCUUUACGGAGAAAGCUUUAUGCGCCAUUGGAUGAGCCUGCACUUGAUUAGUUUGUUGGUGGGGUAAUAGCCUACCAAGACUAUGAUCAAUAGCUGAUUUGAGAGGAUGAUCAGCCACAUUGGGACUGAGACACGGCCCAAACUCCUACGGGAGGCAGCAGUAGGGAAUCUUGCACAAUGGGGGAAACCCUGAUGCAGCGAUGCCGCGUGAGUGAAGAAGGCCUUUGGGUUGUAAAGCUCUUUCGUCGGGGAAGAAAAUGACUGUACCCGAAUAAGAAGGUCCGGCUAACUUCGUGCCAGCAGCCGCGGUAAUACGAAGGGACCUAGCGUAGUUCGGAAUUACUGGGCUUAAAGAGUUCGUAGGUGGUUAAAAAAGUUGGUGGUGAAAUCCCAGAGCUUAACUCUGGAACUGCCAUCAAAACUUUUUAGCUAGAGUAUGAUAGAGGAAAGCAGAAUUUCUAGUGUAGAGGUGAAAUUCGUAGAUAUUAGAAAGAAUACCAAUUGCGAAGGCAGCUUUCUGGAUCAUUACUGACGCUGAGGAACGAAAGCAUGGGUAGCGAAGAGGAUUAGAUACCCUCGUAGUCCAUGCCGUAAACGAUGUGUGUUAGACGUUGGAAAUUUAUUUUCAGUGUCGCAGCGAAAGCAAUAAACACACCGCCUGGGGAGUACGACCGCAAGGUUAAAACUCAAAUGAAUUGACGGGGACCCGCACAAGUAGUGGAGCAUGUGGUUUAAUUCGAAGAUACGCGCAGAACCUUACCAACACUUGACAUGUUCGUCGCGACUUUAAGAGAUUAAAGUUUUCGGUUCGGCCGGACGAAGCACAGGUGCUGCAUGGCUGUCGUCAGCUCGUGUCGUGAGAUG
rnacentral:rRNA from 1 species